rnacentral:ncRNA from 1 species
GAGAAUACGUAGAUGAGACGAGUAGGAUGUGGAAGAUUACAGAGAGAGAAGUCUUGUGCUGGAAACUUCUUAUUACAGAAGCAUCUGAAAACUACCUCGGAGUGGCUGAAAACAGCCCGGUGAUUCCGUUAUCAUCAAGAAAGUGGUUCUGGCAAAAGCCAGUUCAAUCAGGGUGGAACCGCGAGUAAAUACUCGUCCCUUGC